AUCAGGAUUCGCCAAGACGUGGGCUUCAACAGCCUUGAACAGUCCACUGGCUUUCAGUUCGCCCUCCUUGAUUUUGUCUACAUCGAUCUUGCUAUCGCCCUUUGGGUAGUACUUGGUGGUGCACUUGCUGAUGGAACCCCCAUCAGGAGAAGGAACUAUCUGGGUCUCAUAAGAAACUUUCUCUAGUCCUUCCAACCAUGGAUCAGCUUCAAUAGCAGUGUAGUUGUAAAUG
rnacentral:misc_RNA from 1 species